rnacentral:rRNA from 1 species
UACGUAGGGUGCAAGCGUUGUCCGGAAUUAUUGGGCGUAAAGAGCUCGUAGGCGGUCUGUCGCGUCUGCUGUGAAAACUCAGGGCUUAACCCUGAGCUUGCAGUGGGUACGGGCAGACUAGAGUGCGGUAGGGGAGACUGGAAUUCCUGGUGUAGCGGUGAAAUGCGCAGAUAUCAGGAGGAACACCGGUGGCGAAGGCGGGUCUCUGGGCCGUAACUGACGCUGGAGGAGCGAAAGCCGUGGGGAGCGAACAGG